rnacentral:rRNA from 1 species
AGGACGCACAGUUUAUACCGUAGCUUGCUACACCAUAGACUGUGAGUUGCGAACGGGUGAGUAACGCGUAGGUAACCUGCCUAUUAGAGGGGGAUAACUAUUGGAAACGAUAGCUAAUACCGCAUAACAGUAUGUAACACAUGUUAGAUGCUUGAAAGAUGCAAUUGCAUCGCUAGUAGAUGGACCUGCGUUGUAUUAGCUAGUAGGUAGGGUAAAGGCCUACCUAGGCAACGAUACAUAGCCGACCUGAGAGGGUGAUCGGCCACACUGGGACUGAGACACGGCCCAGACUCCUACGGGAGGCAGCAGUAGGGAAUCUUCGGCAAUGGGGGGAACCCUGACCGAGCAACGCCGCGUGAG